rnacentral:lncRNA from 1 species
ACGCAUUGGCACUGCAGCUGCCACCCUUGUGCCCGCGGAGAUGGGAGGAAGCGAAUGGGGAGGGGGACAGCCGCAGGAGUCCUGGUGGUCUGAGAGGGAGACUCGGUACCUGGGAGCCAUUGGCAUCACACCCGUCAGGCUGGUGCCCCAAGCUGGGGCAGUGGGAACAGGGGCCCCAGGAGGCAGAGAGGAGGGGCAGAGAUGUGUUAAUGAUGUUUCUGUCUCUCUGGAGCUCAGCUCUGAGAAACAGUUGGACUAUGAGGCAUGGGGAGCAGAGCGACAGACGGAGAGAGGCUUGAGGACACAAAGGAGGAAGCGUGCCAUUGCCAAGACCCCAAGGAAGAAGGACAGAGAGCGCUGGCAGUCCUGUCUGGCCCCCAGCCAGUUUCCUGCUGAAGAUGGCCAAAUCCUCUUGCCUGGUCUGUGUAUGUCACCGUGCGAGCAUGGUGGGAGCAGGGGGGUGGCUUGCUUGCUGAGCUGGGAUCUAGAAUGGGAAGGGCACCUUUCUGUGGAUCUCGUUUGGACUUUCCACUCUAACAAGUGA